AUGCCAGCCUCCGGAUCCGCCCCUCCUCCUGCUCGGGGGCGCUGUCCGUGGCCGGAUUCGGCCCCGACGCCAUCUUGCUUGGCUGCAUCGGCUUCGGCUUGCUCCCCCGGCUGGAUCUCGUCCCUCUCCACUGUCGGCUUCGACCACCUCCCAUGCUGCACUGGGAGCUGGCUCCGGCGGCGCCCAAGUCCGGUGGUUCCCCCUCCGGUUCGUGCCUCUGCCGUGCUGCCCGCGCCGGUCUCUCCUCUCGUGGCAGCUGGACGGGCAUGUCCGCGCGGGGCCUUGCUGUUGAUGGGUGCCUUCGUCCCCGACCUUCCCCGUGUUGGACCUGCCAUGGCAGUGUCUGAUCUGGAUGCCUUGCCCCUGUGCCCCGUCCCGUGCUCCGCCACGCACCUCCUCCGUCCUCCCUCGCCACCGCCCGUUCUGUUGUCGUCGUGCUCCUCCGCGUGCUCGCCAAACGAAGGUGGCGUCGUGGCUCUCUGCGUCUUGGGAGCCCUCCACCUCCCAGAUCCCCCGGUGGGUUGUCACUGUCUCGUGGCUUCACCUGCAGGGGGCGCCGCACCAGUGGUCCUCGCUGGUGGCUCUCGGUGUCAAGGGUGCCUGUCGGCGUCGCUGCCGGUUGGAUUCGCCCGGAUCUGGGGCCGCCCAUCCCAGCGCUUCUUGGCGCUAUUGGCGGUUGCUCUGCGUCUCGUCGGGAAGGAUGUGACCGGGGAUGGGGAGAAAUCCUUGGUCGGCCUGCUGUUGGCCGAGACAGCGGCGACGCUUCCCGUCGUUCUCCAUCUUGAUGGCGUUGUCUUCAUUCCCCGGUCUUGUGAUGUUUGGGGUGUGCUCUGUGAAGUUCUAUGCUUGGUGAUGCCCUUCGACUACACCGGUGGCACACAGGUGCCGUGGCAUCGUCUUGGCCCGGUGUGA
rnacentral:rRNA from 1 species